rnacentral:rRNA from 1 species
AAGUCGUAACAAGGUUUCCGUAGGUGAACCUGCGGAAGGAUCAUUACUGGUUUAGCGGACCGAGCGUUAGCGAGGUUCUGCGAUCAAUUUAUAUUUAAAACCCACUCUUGAAUGUAUAAAAUUUUAUGUAUUAAUGAUAAAAUAAAAGAUCACUUUCAACAACGGAUCUCUUGGCUCUCGCAUCGAUGAAGAACGUAGCGAAGUGCGAUAAGUAUUGUGAAUUGCAGAAUUCCGUGAAUCAUCGAAUCUUUGAACGCAAAUUGCACUUUCUGGUAUUCCGGAAAGUAUGCCUGUUUGAGGGUCAGUUAAAUAAAAAUCGGUGUUGUUGCUGCUUUUCGUGGUAACGCGUCAGAAUUGGGUCGUCUUACCUUCGGUUAAGUGACUUAAAAUUUUUCAUGAUUUUUGAACGUAUUUAAAUUGCUUACGUACGUUUGAGAUAUCGAAUGUUUAUUAGGUUCGGUCAUCCUCAUGACUCGCGCCUAUAAUUUUUCAUUAAAUGACCUCAAAUCAGGUAAGAAUACCCGCUGAACUUA